GAUGAACGCUGGCGGUGUGCCUAAUACAUGCAAGUCGAGCGAACAGACGAGGAGCUUGCUCCUCUGACGUUAGCGGCGGACGGGUGAGUAACACGUGGAUAACCUACUUAUAAGACUGGGAUAACUUCGGGAAACCGGAGCUAAUACUGGAUAAUAUAUUGUACCGCAUGGUUCAAUAGUGAAAGACGGUUUUGCUGUCACUUAUAGAUGGAUCCGCGCCGCAUUAGCUAGUUGGUAAGGUAACGGCUUACCAAGGCAACGAUGCGUAGCCGACCUGAGAGGGUGAUCGGCCACACUGGAACUGAGACACGGUCCAGACUCCUACGGGAGGCAGCAGUAGGGAAUCUUCCGCAAUGGGCGAAAGCUUGACGGAGCAACGCCGCGUGAGUGAUGAAGGUCUUCGGAUCGUAAAACUCUGUUAUUAGGGAAGAACAAAUGUGUAAGUAACUAUGCACGUCUUGACGGUACCUAAUCAGAAAGCCACGGCUAACUACGUG
rnacentral:rRNA from 1 species